CCUACGGGUGGCAGCAGUAGGGAAUGUUGCGCAAUGGGCGAAAGCCUGACGCAGCAACGCCGCGUGAUCGAGACGCACUUCGGGGUGUAAAGAUCUGUCAGUGGGGACGAAACGUGACGGUACCCACAGAGGAAGCACCGGCUAACUCCGGGCCAGCAGCCGCGGUAAUACGGGGGGGGCAAGCGUUGUCCGGAAUCAUUGGGCGUAAAGAGUUCGUAGGCGGCACGUAAAGUCUGGUGUUAAAGGCAGAGGCUCAACUUCUGUACGGCACUGGAUACUUGCGAGCUAGAAUGCGGUAGAGGUAACGGGCAUUCCUGGUGUAGCGGUGAAAUGCUUAGAUAUCAGGAGGAACAUCGGUGGCGUACGCGCUUUACUGGGCCGUAAUUGACGCUGAGGCACGAAAGCCCGGGUAGCAAAUCGGAUUAGAUACCCUUGUAGUC
rnacentral:rRNA from 1 species